AUUGAACGCUGGCGGCAGGCCUAACACAUGCAAGUCGAGCGGCAGCGGGAAAGUAGCUUGCUACUUUUGCCGGCGAGCGGCGGACGGGUGAGUAAUGCCUGGGGAUCUGCCCAGUCGAGGGGGAUAACUACUGGAAACGGUAGCUAAUACCGCAUACGCCCUACGGGGGAAAGCAGGGGACCUUCGGGCCUUGCGCGAUUGGAUGAACCCAGGUGGGAUUAGCUAGUUGGUGAGGUAAUGGCUCACCAAGGCGACGAUCCCUAGCUGGUCUGAGAGGAUGAUCAGCCACACUGGAACUGAGACACGGUCCAGAAUCGUAGGGGAGGCAGCAGUGGGGAAUAUUGCACAAUGGGGGAAACCCUGAUGCAGCCAUGCCGCGUGUGUGAAGAAGGCCUUCGGGUUGUAAAGCACUUUCAGCGAGGAGGAAAGGUUGGUAGCUAAUAACUGCCAGCUGUGACGUUACUCGCAGAAGAAGCACCGGCUAACUCCGUGCCAGCCGCCGCGGUAACAC
rnacentral:rRNA from 1 species